GGCGACGAUCCGUAGCGGGUCUGAGAGGAUGAUCCGCCACACUGGGACUGAGACACGGCCCAGACUCCUACGGGAGGCAGCAGUGGGGAAUUUUGGACAAUGGGCGCAAGCCUGAUCCAGCCAUGCCGCGUGAGUGAAGAAGGCCUUCGGGUUGUAAAGCUCUUUCGGCCGGAAGAAAUCGUGGUCUCUAACAUAGGCCAUGGAUGACGGUACCGGACUAAGAAGCACCGGCUAACUACGUGCCAGCAGCCGCGGUAAUACGUAGGGUGCGAGCGUUAAUCGGAAUUACUGGGCGUAAAGCGUGCGCAGGCGGUUUUGUAAGACAGAUGUGAAAUCCCCGGGGCUUAACCUGGGAACUGCGUUUGUGACUGCAAGGCUAGAGUACGGCAGAGGGGGGUGGAAUUCCUGGUGUAGCAGUGAAAUGCGUAGAGAUCAGGAGGAACACCGAUGGCGAAGGCAGCCCCCUGGGCCUGUACUGACGCUCAUGCACGAAAGCGUGGGGAGC
rnacentral:rRNA from 1 species